UUACGGCCACAUCAGGUUGAAACACCGGUUGUCGCACGAUCACCGAAAUUAAGCAACCCGAGCCUGGUCAGUACCUAGAUGGGUGACUGCUUGGGAAUACUAAGUUCUGUAAG